UACGUAGGGUGCAAGCGUUGUCCGGAAUUAUUGGGCGUAAAGAGCUCGUAGGCGGUUUGUCGCGUCUGCUGUGAAAACGCGAGGCUCAACCUCGCGCCUGCAGUGGGUACGGGCAGACUAGAGUGCGGUAGGGGAGAUUGGAAUUCCUGGUGUAGCGGUGGAAUGCGCAGAUAUCAGGAGGAACACCGAUGGCGAAGGCAGAUCUCUGGGCCGUAACUGACGCUGAGGAGCGAAAAGCGUGGGGAGCGAACG
rnacentral:rRNA from 1 species